CCAAUACUGACUCUGAAACAGACUUUAUAGUUGCUGCAGAUAUACAUAGACCUGGUACUAAUUAGAGGAUGGUAUUUCCAAAAACUAUCCCAUCAUCUCCUUACAUUUGUAGCAAAUUCACCACCAAGUAUAUACAGAGAGAUAAAAAUAAGCAUUUUAGAGCACAAAAUUACUGCUGGUCUAUAGCAUACUAGAAGAGGAACAAUAGUAUUUUGCUCUUUGCCAUAAAAGAUGCUGUAUUCUCAAUUGCUGCUCAGCUAUUUGCCUUGUUCUCUGCCCAUGUCUUUGUAAUAGCAAUCCUUUGUACUCCAACCCUUCUCCCCAUCCCAAGACUGUUUAGGCCAGGCUUUCCUUUUUAUUACUAUUUUUAACCCCAAGUAAUUCUUACGAAAAUAAUUUCAUUCACACUCAUGGUUUCAGUUGCCUCCAAUGUCAGUAACUCCAAGGUCCAACCCUUCAAAUCUGACUGCACAGAAAAUACAUGUUCAAAGGUAGCUGACAAGCUGGCUGUGUUAAUUCUGGCUCUACCAUUACCCCUCUCUGGGUUAUCUUUCACACAGCUGGCAAAUCUGUUGCUUUAGUUAUGUAACAUUUACUAUUAGUCUCAUUUAGAACAGUAGAGGUCUCCCCAUAACUACCUGCUGUACCAUACCCAUCCGAUUCUAUUCCAUUUCCAGUAGGGAAAGAUACUUUUGUCAAGUGACAGGGUCUCCCUAUGUUAUCCAUGCUGGCCUCAAACCACCGGAGCUCAAGAGUUCCUCCUACCUCAGCCUCCCAAGCAGCUGGGAUUACAGGCAAGCACCACCACACGCACUUAUUUUUUUCUGCCAGCCACAUAGUUUUUCAUUAUUGGUUGAUUUGCUCAGGAAAUCUGACAUUGACCUGUUAAUAGUCAACCAGAUGUAAUAGUUGGGAAUAUAAAGCAAACAGUCCAUAUAUUUUACAAAAUAACAAUUUUUAUUAUGAGUCACUUGCUUUAGUAUGGAUAAUGGAAGAAGAAUCACCUAUGGUUAGAAAAGUUAUUAGAUCUGAUAGUUUAUUUGACUGGUCUUUCCCAUCAUUGACUUGUUAAACACCUUGCCAGCAGAGACUGGAUUUUUUUUUCUUUUUCUUUUUUUUGCAGUCUCACUCUGUUGCCCAUGCUGAAGUGCAGUGGUGUGAUCUCAGCUCACUGCAACCUCGGCCUCCCAGGUUCAAGUGAUUCUCCUGCCUCAGCCUCCUGAGUAGCUGGGAUUACAGGCACACACCACCGUGCCCGUCUAAUUUUUGUUAUUUUUAGUAGAGACGGGGUUUCACCAUGUUGGCCAGGCUUGUCUCAAACUCCUGGCUUCCAGUGAUCCACCCAUCUCGGCCUCCCAAAGCAUUGGGAUUACAAGUGUGAGCCACCAUGCCAGGCCAGACUGGAUUAUAUCAUUUACUCCUUCCUACUCCCCUCUGCUCCAAACCUACUGCACUGCACAUUAAAGAGUUUGACAGUUAAUAGAAUUUCCUGUUCUGAAAUUAGUGCUCACAGGGGACAUAACUACCAGACAUAAAUAGAAAUUUGAAUGGGUAAUAAUGGCGGAUGACAAAAACAUUAGAGGCUUUUGAUCUCUGCCUAUUUAAAAACUGAAACCUGACUGAAGUGAAUAUAUUAUUACAUAAAAAUCCUGUAAUAUAUGUGUGUGCUGUUUUGUUUUCAGGAAAAAACCCUGCAUUUUGACCCAAAUACUAAAUUUGGAUUGUCUCAUUUAUGUGGGUCUGUAAGGAAAGUCAGGUUAAACUAGGUUCAUAGUAAAACAACAUAGUAAAAACUGUCUUCGUACCCUUUUGGAGAAAUGAGAAAAAUUAGAUUACCUAUGAAUAAAAAAAUUUAUAUAUAUGAAAAAUGACAGCUCACUUUUCUAAAAUCAUUACAAUUUUCUCUUAGAAAGUUGGAAAGCUCUUAGAAAGUUUAACAGACUGUUACCAAUAGAGCUUUGUUCAUUUGCUGUGUGUUUUCCCCACGUGGGCAGAAAAUCCCUGCUGUACCUCCGAUAUUGUAAACAGCGCCUGAAACACGGUAGAGAAUACUGAAUGCAUUUAUUGAUUCUCAGAUACAAAAAUCAGGUAGAUAUGCCUAAUUUUGGAUAAAGCCUGUAAUUCCUAAGGUCAGUAACCUACAGGCCACCAACAGGGAUGUUUUAAGAAGCAAGUUUAAAAUGUGUGUAACAUGGAAUACUUUUUUUAAAAAAUGGCAGCAUUUAGAAUACAGACCUAUUUAGCAAUAAGCACUUUACUUUUACUUUUCAAAGAUAAACUAAUGUCAAGCCUAUGGAAUUAGUUGAUUAAUCUGUUUAGUAGUCUUGUUUCAACAGGUAUCCCAACACAGACUCAUCCAUUUUCCUCCCAAUAGUUAAGGAAACAUAUAUAAAGUUUAGUUCUGUUCUCAAUCUACCUCUCUUCUCUCAUGUAUUCUUGAAAUAUCAAAUGUAUUGAUUAGGCUGGGUGCGGUGGCUCACACCUGUAAUCCCAGCACUUUGGGAGGCUGACGCAGGCGGAUCACCUGGGUCGGGAGUUCGAAACCAGCCUAACCAACAUGGAGAAACCUCAUCUCUACCAAAAAAUACAAAAUUAGCCAGGCGUGGUGGUGCAUGCUUGUAAUCCCAGCUAUUCAGGAGGCUGAGGCAGAAGAAUUGCUUGAACCUGGGAGGCAGAGGUUGGGGUGAGCCAAGAUCGCACCACUGUACGCCAGCCUGGGCAACAAGAGCGAAACUCAGUCUCAAAAAAAAAAAAGAAAAAGAAAAAAAAAGAAAAUUCAAAUGUGUUGAUGCACUGUAACAAAUAGAACAGACUUAUUUAUCUUUUUUUUCUAAGACAGGGUCUCACUCUAUUGCCAUCGUGGGGGUGCAGUGGCGCGAACACAGUUCACUGUAUCCUUGAUCUCCUGGGAUCAAGCAAUCCUUCUGAAUAGCUGGGACUACAGGUACAGACGUGCACCACCAUGCCCAGCUAAUUAAAAAAAAAUUUUUUUUUGUAGAGAUGGGGUCUAUGUUGCCCAGGCUGUCAGAUUUGUUUUGUUUGAAAAAAAAAUUUUAGUCUUACAAAUCACAAUGUUAAGGCUCACUGACAGAUUAUGAGACAAGCCUGCAAGCACUUUUAAGGCUUCUAAGGUAAUAGUAAGAGUAUUAAUUGUAAAACACUAUAACUCCCUUUUACAUUUCCAAGAUUUAAGAAGAGAUAGAAUAGAUGGAGAUUAAAUUCAAUGAAAACACAGAUAAGAGUUUAACUCAAAGAAAAGUUGUAGUGAUGAGUUUCGAUUCUAAGUUUGCUGUCCCACAACUAAAGACGGAAUGAUUUAAAAAAAAAAACGGCAAAACUUCAUUUUAUAAAUGGAAUUUUAAAAAUUUCUAUUUGUAAUGCCCACAUAUGGUAAAGAUGAGCUAUUUACGUUUAAGAAACAACUGAAUCAACAAGAAAGUCAAUACAGGGUUUUUACACUUUUUAGAAAAAUGUAAGUGAAAGACCACUCUGAUUUUCUCCUAAAACUCAAGUUUCUUCAAGUAUCCUUGGGGACGUGAAAAGGAAUUCAUGCCUUUUCUGACUCAAUUAUUUUAGUAUUUUCCCAUUAAGCACCAGAAAAGUCAAUCUACAUGAGUUGUGCUCCCAAACUGCAGUUACUAUUUUGUAUAGGAGAAAAUGGUGCUUUUUGCCAAACCACAGCCUUAUUCCUAUCAGCAUUGAAAAAAAUAAAUUAUAUAUAUAGUAUUAUAUAGACCUCCACUGUACUACAUAUAUAUAUAUACUCUCUCUAUAUAUGUACUAUAUAUAAUAUAUAUAUAUAUAUAUAUAUAUAGACCUAGAGGAUAGCACUGGCAUUCAUUUCACUCUCCUAUGAAGUAGGUAUUAUCAUUCUCAUUUUACAGAUGAGGAAACCAAGGCACCCAACCAAAGGCAUAUAGUAGGAACUGGAAGAGCUGGGAUUAAAAACCCAGGAAGUCUGGCUCCAAACUUUAUAUUCUUAUUCACUAUAUAGUAAACCAUCCAUCUUGUAACCCUAACACUCAUCUGUAACUAAUGUGUUGUUUCCCACCAGAGCAGUAGUUCUUCACCAGGGUGAUUUUGCCCUCCAAGUUCACCUCCCUUGUCCCCCAACAAUCCAACUGGGGAACAUCUGGCAAUGUCUGGAAACAUUUUUGGUUGCCACAACUUGGGGGCUGGGGUGGUGUGACUGGCAUCUAGUGGGCAGAUAUUAAAAUUCCUAUAAUGCACAGGAGAGUCGCCAGAAUACAUUAUCAAACAUAAAACAUCAAUAGUGCUGAGGCUGAGAAACUCUUCAAUAGAAUAUAAAUUCUAGGAGGGCAGCAUUUUAUAGUUGAUCUUGGUUGCUGCUACAUCCUUAGGCCUAGAACAAUUUUUAUACUUAAGUACUUAAUUUGUCCAAUGAAUGAAUAUUUAGCUGUUUGAGCCUAGAACUGGGCCUGGUACAUAGCUGGUAGGCAGCAAACAUUUAUUAAAAGUAAUUAUUGAAUAAUGGCGGUAUCAAUGGAUGUAACAGGACAUAGUAAAUUGAAGUAAUUUUAGUGUUUCACAGUCCCAGUUUUUUGGGCUUAAUUUUUUUCCCAAAUGAUUAUAAAUAAAACCAGUUCUGCCAAAACAAGUCCCUUUUGUAAAGAAUCAGACUUUUUCUUAACAUGAAAGCCUUUAAAAAUGUAUCAUUCAAACAGCGUGUAUUUAGGGGAUUAGCAGAUACCCCUCUAUUAGAUAUUAUCACUGAUUAAUUGCUCCAGUAGCUGGCAAAUACUUUCAAAAAGUUUUUUAAGAGCUUUACAAUUUUUAAAAAGUUUUAAAAUAAUUCUAUAAGAAUUCAGUUCUUACAGAAUUCAAUUAUAGCAUAUUUAAGAAAAAUAUCGAUUCUCUAAGUGCUUAAUCCACAUCACUCAAAGAUUUUUAUAACCACAAUAUUCUAACUUCAAUCCUGUAUUUUAAAAAAUCCAUAGUGUAACAUCCAUGAAAGUAUGUUAAAUCGUUCCUCUUUUACCUACCUCAUCAAAUAGCUACUGAACAUUACCCAAAGGCAUUUAUUCGUAAGUAAUACUGCUUGAUUUACAAAAUUAUUUCUCAAGGAAAAGUUCAAAAGGUGGUUAUGUGGAUAUUCAAACAAUACCAGAAAACUCGCUACUUCCUUAUUCCUGUAAUUAAUGAGUCUGGCUUGCCCAGAUGUUAAAUUAUGAAACCAUGCUGUGUAAAAUGCACCUAUUACAAUUAAAACCAGGGUAAACCCGUAUUUAUUUACUAGCACUGUUAAAACAUUACACAAAACACAUUCAAGUGGCAAGUAAUUA
rnacentral:lncRNA from 10 species